AACACAUGCAAGUCGAACGGUGAAGCCCUUCGGGUGGAUCAGUGGCGAACGGGUGAGUAACACGUGAGCAACCUGCCCUUGGCUCUGGGAUAACUCCGGGAAACCGGUGCUAAUACUGGAUAUUCACAUUCUGUCGCAUGGUGGUUUGUGGAAAGUUUUUCGGCCAGGGAUGGGCUCGCGGCCUAUCAGCUUGUUGGUGGGGUGAUGGCCUACCAAGGCGACGACGGGUAGCCGGCCUGAGAGGGCGACCGGCCACACUGGGACUGAGACACGGCCCAGACUCCUACGGGAGGCAGCAGUGGGGAAUAUUGCGCAAUGGGCGAAAGCCUGACGCAGCGACGCCGCGUGAGGGAUGAAGGCCUUCGGGUUGUAAACCUCUUUCAGCAGGGAAGAAGCGAGAGUGACGGUACCUGCAGAAGAAGCACCGGC
rnacentral:rRNA from 1 species